GAUAACCGAAAGUAAAAAUAACCCCAUUACACGCCUGAGGAGGAUGUGGAGAAGAAAGAAACCCCUCGGAAGGGAGAAGAUGAAAGACAGAAACCGAAAGGCGAGAGAGAGGCAGUGAGAGGAGGGGGAAAAAGAAAAGACGAAAAGGCAUCUUUUUGAAACUGGAAUUAAACAUGAGCUGGGAGGACAGGCCUGGCCUUAAGGAAGCAUUCUUUAUAGACUUGGAUCAAGCGUGGGUCCUGUUUUUAAGGCAAUACUCUGCUCAAGCCAUCUGUGGACCUGGGGAAGCUCAUCUGGAAUUCCCUGCAUUGGGAUAUUGGCUUCCUAGGGAAUGA
rnacentral:lncRNA from 1 species